GACGAAGGGGGCUAGCGUUGUUCGGAAUUACUGGGCGUAAAGCGUGUGUAGGUGGUUGUCAUAGUCAGGUGUGAAAGCCUUGAGCUUAACUCCGAAACUGCAUUCGAUACUGCCGUGCUUGAGGACUGGAGAGGAGACUGGGAAUUUACGGUGUAGCGGUGAAAUGCGUAGAUAUCGUAAGGAAGACCAGUGGGCGAAGGCG
rnacentral:rRNA from 1 species